rnacentral:rRNA from 1 species
GACGAACGCUGGCGGCGUGCUUAACACAUGCCAGUCGAACGAUGAACCCGGAGCUUGCUCUGGGGGAUUAGUGGCGAACGGGUGAGUAACACGUGAGUAACCUGCCCUGGACUCUGGGAUAAGCGUUGGAAACGACGUCUAAUACCGGAUAGGACCUUGGAUCGCAUGAUCUGGGGUGGAAAGUUUUUUCGGUCUGGGAUGGACUCGCGGCCUAUCAGCUUGUUGGUGAGGUAAUGGCUCACCAAGGCGUCGACGGGUAGCCGGCCUGAGAGGGUGGCCGGCCACACUGGGACUGAGACACGGCCCAGACUCCUACGGGAGGCAGCAGUGGGGAAUAUUGCACAAUGGGCGAAAGCCUGAUGCAGCAACGCCGCGUGCGGGAUGACGGCCUUCGGGUUGUAAACCGCUUUUAGUAGGGAAGAAGGGCUUCGGCUUGACGGUACCUGCAGAAAAAGGACCGGCUAACUACGU